UAUGAUAAUUAAGACUGAGCUAGCAUAUAAGAAAUCCUAGUCAAUUGGCCAGCAGCACUGUAAACUAAUAUAAGACUCUGUGUCAUUCUGGGCGCUCGCUCAUGUGGCGGCAGGUGGAUGGAGUAAAGAUUUAUCAUUACAUAUGUCUGAUACAUUUUCUAGAUAUUUAAAAAACCUACCCAGAUGUCUCUGUCUCUGUCUCUGUCUCUGUCUCUCUCUCACACACACAUUUCUUAUUUGUUGCAGUUCAGAUUUUUAAAGUAUACCCUAUGAUCCUCUGUAUUUGGUUAGUAUCCAUAGUGAUAGCCCCCUUCUCAUCUCUAAUUUUAUUGACUUAGAUCUUCUCUCAUCUUUUAGUGAAUUGGUCUAAGAGUUUAUUUCAUUAACACUUUGCAUUGUUUUUGUUGCUAUUGUUGUUGUUGUUGGUGGUGUUUCUAUUUCAUUGGUUUAGGCCUAAGUUCUAUCAUUUCUCGUGCUCUACUCUUUUUGGGGUAUUAUUGCUUAUUUUCCAGAGCUUUCAGGUGUGCUGUUAAGUUGCUAAUAUGAGAUCUCCAUUUUUUUAUGUAGCACUUAGUGCUGCGAACUUGCCUCUUAGAGCUGCUUUCAUCUUGUCUUACAGGUUUGGUUAGGUUGUAUUUUCAUCUUUGUUCAUUUCUAAAAUAUUUUUAAUUUCCUUCUUAAUUCUGUCUUGUUCCAUUUUGCUUGAGGUAAUGGGUUGUUCAUUUCAGUGAAUUUCUAAGAUUUCUGUUGUUUCUAUGGAUGAUAUACAGCUUUAAUCCAUGGUGAUGAGACAAGCCAGGAUACCGUGUGUUAUUUCAGUUCUCUUGUAUCUGUGGAUACUUGCUUUGAGGCCAGCAUGUGGUCAAUUUGGGAGACAAUUACAUGAAUCACUGAGAAGGAAGUAUAUUUUUUUGUGUUUGGGUGACAUGUUCUGUAAAUAUCUGCUAGGUCCAUUUGGUUAUGACAUGAUUCAAUUCCAGCAUUUUUUGUUUAAUUUUUUCUGGAUUAAUCAUCUAUUGGUAAGAGUGGCAUAUGGAAGUCAUUCAUUAUCAUUGUGUUGGCAUCAAUAUAUGAUUUUUGCUGGAGUAGUAUUUCUUCUGUGGACUUGGUGCCCUUGUAUUUGGUGCACAAAUAUUUAGGAUUUCAGUAUCCUCUUGGUGGCUUUCUCCUUUGAUAAAUCACCUUCCCUAUCUUUUCUGAUUAGUUUUGGUUUGAGGUCUACUUUGUCAAACAUUAAAAUGGCUACACUGGCAUGCUUCUUGGAUUCUUUCACUUGGCACAGACUCUUCCAUCCUUUUACCCUGAAGUGGCAUUUAUCCUUGAUGGUUAGGUGUGUUUCUGGGUGAGGCAGAAGGAUGGAGACUGUUUUUUUAAUCUAAUAUAUUUGUCUAUGUCUUUUUAGUGGGGAAUUAUGACCAUGGAUGUUGACAGUUAUCAAUGUUUGUUGAUUCCUGUCAUUUUAUUGUUGUAAUGUGGGUUCCCCUCCUCCUUUGAUUUAAUGUUCUGGCAUUAUCUAUUCUUUGUAUUUUCUUGGGUAUGAGUAACUUAUUCAGGUUGAAAUUUUCCUACGGAUGCCUCAUUGCACUUAGAAAUGCUAAGAUCAUAGUUGCUGAAUGUUUUUUACUACAAUAAAAAAAUUGAAAAAAAAUUUUACCUAGAGAAUCCACAAGCUUCCAGGCACAGGUUAGGCGGUACAUGCAUGUAACACAUAUUUAGGUUUCUGAGGCCAGAGGAUUAUAAAUGUAAACCUGUCACAGAAUGAGCUCAUCUCCCAAAACAAAUCAGACCCACAAGUUAGUUUUAACCAAUUACAAGUUGCUCUUUGAACUUGAGCUACCUAAAACAUGAAUCAUGAACUGCUAGGCCACGCUCCACGCAAUGAGCUCAUCAUCACAGCUCUCAACUGAAGACAGCGUUAGGAUGCUCGUCAAAUGUUGGCUGGCUGUACAAAACAAAAGCUUGUUCUCCCUUUUCCUUCCCUGUGCUAAAUGGGAGCAAAAGAAACUGAAGUCAGCUUUUAGUAGUAUGUUAGAAAGACUCAGGCGUUAUUCAGCGCGUGUGUGAGUGCAUGCUCUGUGGCUAGCAGCUGUGAGGAAAAGGAUUUUGAUGACCACUCACUGAUUGGGAUUCUGAAACCGUCUCUUAGAAGAUGGCUUCUCAGUCACAGCUACAGACUGAAAUCAUCUGGGCUGUUUGGAAAAUAGAAUAAGAUAUAGUCCAGGUUCUGCCCUAGUGUAACGGCAACAGCUCCCAGGCACCACUGUGAUGACAAAGAGCUGUUGCAAUGCACAAUGCUGUUUCUAGGAGUGACGUAUCUUGGGAGCUGGUGGAAAAUAAAUUAUGUGACAAUUGCUGAUACCGCACAUGCGUGCAGACACACACACACACACACACACACACACACACAUCUGCCAGAGAAGUAUUAAGCUAUGGUGUCAGCACAAAUUAGUAUUCAUUAUUGGUAAAAUACCAAAUCGCCCUUCUCAGGCUGUGACUCAUUUCCAUUUAUCUGUUUUUAUUUUUCCCAUGGGUGAACUCAAACAACUGUGCUUAUCAAUGGCUGUUUCCUUCCUCCCAAGUCCACGUCAAAGGAAUGAACAGUCUCUGGAGCCUCCUGUGAUUGCUUGCUGACUCCUUCGGUUUAGGCCAAGUUACAGCUGUAGCAGACUCCUUCUUCGACAUGGCCCAUGGCUUUGAAAACAGCCUGUCUUAUGGCCUCUUGGUGUUUGCAGAAUGCCUGAGUGCUGUUUUAAAUGCCUUACAGGCACUGGUCUCACCUCCACAACAAUGCCAUGAAUGAAUUGUUAUUCCUAUACUUACUAUCUGUAUGGGAAAGUGGUACCAUGUUGAGAAAGCAUCCCAACUGCCCAGCGGACUAGCCUCUGUUCCCAGAUCCUUCCUCUCUACUGACCCUAACUAAUAAUGCAAAACACUUUUUCCAUUAGACAUGGCCAAUGUCCGGCUCACACUUGUGUAUACAUGUAUAUUGAAUCUCCACAGUGUGUGUGCACUGCUGCAAAGCCGGUCAUGUGAGCCAUCACAGCUAAUCCUCAUGACUGUUGGAUAAUGUGAUGAUGAGCCCUAUUUAUUCACGGCAAAUGGAGCGAUGGCUCGGGGAGAUAAAGUAACUGUUCUCAAACCACAGAGGCAGGGAAGGGUAGAGCGGGUCUGGAGUUUAAAAGGCGCCCAUCCACAUACUGGCAGGGACUUUUAACUCACCUUGUGGUCUGCGAGUUUAUUUUACAAACCUACUUAAAGAUGUGUUUAACAGCUAGGGUCAAUUUUAUCUUCUCUUACUACAGUGUCCCUUCCACGACGACAAGAUGUUUGUGUAGCUUUUACCAGUGUUCUGAACACAUAUAACUCGAUAUUUACUGCAACAAGGAAAUGAAGAUAAAUACCAGUGAUCAUAAGCAACUGUACUACAGUUUGAACCUGAAAUGUGCCCACAGGCCCUGAUGUUUGGACACUUUGUCCUCAGCUGGUUGCCCUGUGGCGUGCUGUAGAGUGGACUGUGGCAUAGCUAACAGAAGUGGACCCUGGAGAGCUUCAGAGGGGAAUAUCUGAUUCUUGCUCUGGUUUGAGAAAUCUCCUUCCUGAUCCAAGAGGUAUAAGAAGUCGCAGGUGAAGUCUCCUCUUGCCACGAACCAAGUCGUCUCCAUACCAUGCCUUCCUCGCCAUGAGGGACUGAUCCUUCCAGAACCAUGAGCCUGAAUCAACCUCUCCUCCCGUAGGUCAAUCUGCCAGGUGUUUUAUUACAGCAACACGAAGGUCACAUGGUUUGCGUAAUGAGUGAAUGCCUGCAUCGCGUUUGGUGGAGGAAAUUUGAGGAAGAGUACGCGACAUGGACCGUUGUGUCCUUUGGAAUCCCAUCAUGUGGUUUGUAGAAGGCGUGGCUUCUCCCUUUCUCCACCCUCUUUUCCUUCGUGGGCACUUCAGGAUUUUUGAAGAAAGCAUUGCCGUGGAUAUAAAGCCACCAGGGUCCCAGGGACUGGGACUCCGUGAUGGUCCUCAUCCUGACUGUGGCAGUUUGAAUAAAAAUGGCCCCCAUAGGCUCCUAUAUUUGGAUGCUUAGUCAUCUGGGAAUGACACUACUUGAGAGGGUCUAGGGGAGUGUGGCCUUGUUGGAGUGGGUGUGGCCUCGCUGGAGUGGGUGUGUCAUGUGUCACUGGGGUUGGGCUUUGAGGUUCCAAACUAGAAGCCAGACUGGGUGUCACUCUCUUCCUGCUAUGGGCAGAUCCAGAAGUGGGACUCUCACCUGCUUCUUUAACACCAUGUCAGUCAGCCUGUGUGCCAGCAUGCUCUCUACCAUGAAGUAAUGGACUAGACUCUGAAACUAUAAGCAGGCCCCAGUUACAUGUUUUCUCGUAUAAAAGGUGCUGCGGUCGUGGUGUCUCUUCGAAGCAAUAGAACACUGAUUUUGCCUCAUUUGUUCAUUUCUGCAAAUUAAGCCUCGGCUCACACCAGAAACACCAUUACAGUUGUACCAGCCAGAAUUACAGCUAGAAUUUGAUGGGGCUGCCGGAGAAAGGGUUCAGUCGUUACGAGAAUGAACUGUUCUUCCAGGGGACCUGAGUUUGGUUCCCAGAACCCACACUGGGCAGCUCACAACCACCAGUAACUCCAGCUCCAAGAGAUCUGACCCCCUUUCCCGGGCUUCACAGGUACUGCAGUUGCAUGCAUACACCCCACCCGCACACACAUAAAUAUGUGAUUAAAAAUAAAAUGCUCAAAAAAUAGAGAAUUAAAUGCAGUUACGAAGGUGAAUGAUUUGAGAAGAACUUAGUAUCAACGGCAUUUAGGUUCGAGUUAAUGAGACACUAGCAUCACUGAAUGACUAAGUGUGAGAGGGAACAUUUACCAUGUUGCCCGGAGAUGGCAACUGCGUGCUACCAGAAGCUGUGGCCAUGAUGACCUGUCAGGGAAGGCGCUAGAGAAGUAAGUACAGAGCCUGGUUCACCUCACAUCGGCUCGCCCAUUCCACCCUUCGCUCCUGCGCAUGCGCCACCCUUAGCUCCCGCGCAUGCGCCUCCCGUUGACUAACCAACUGAGGCAGAAGAGACCCUGUUGACAGUCUUUCAGGACCCAGACCUGUAGAGAAAAUUUGAAACAUAUAGACUCAAAGCAAAAUAAAAUAACCACCUACAACCAACCAAAAGCAAUAAACCACAAAAUUUGAA